AUCCAACUCUGUAGAAAAGUCCUCACUGGUGUCCAGAGUGAGGCCGAUUGGCAGCACCAGUGAAGCCGACACAGAGUUCGACAGGAUGAAACAGG